UACAGAGACUGCAAGCGUUAUUCGGAUUCACUGGGCGUAAAGGGUGCGCAGGCGGUCGGGUGUGUCAGAUGUGAAAUCCCGAGGCUCAACCUCGGAACUGCGUCUGAAACUACUCGACUAGAGUACUGGAGAGGGUAACGGAAUUCACGGUGUAGCAGUGAAAUGCGUAGAUAUCGUGAGGAACACCAGUGGCGAAGGCGGCAUCCUGGACCAUAACUGACGCUGAGGCGCGAAAGCUAGGGGAGCAAACGGG
rnacentral:rRNA from 1 species